GAAAAUAAUCUUGUGAUUGAUUUAACCGUCAUGAACAAAAUUAGUUUACAUACUUGAUAGAUGGAAACUAUUUUAUACUUAAUGACUUUAGAAAAAUUAGAGUGUUCAAAGCAUGAUUCACUAUUUGAAUAAUACAGCAUGGGAUAAUAUAAUAUGACAUUAGUUAAAAUUUGUUGGUUUCUUUGGCUAAUGUAAUGAUUAAAAGGGACAGUUGGAGUAAUUUAUAUUGGUUGGGGAGGGGUGAAAUCCUAUGAUCCUUCCAAGAUAAACUAGUGCGAAAGCAUUUUACUAGGAUGUUUUCAUUAAUCAAGAACGAAAGUUGGGGGAUCGAAGAUGAUCAGAUACCGUCGUAGUCUCAACCAUAAACUAUGUCGACUAAGGAUGAUAAAAUAUUAAAUGAAUGAUUUUUGUCGCACUUUAAAAGAAAUUAAAGUAUUCAGACUCCGGGGGG
rnacentral:rRNA from 1 species